CCUGACUUGAUUUUUAGUUGUUUGUCCCCUAGAGUCAAAGUAUGCAUUCACCUUGAGAACUUCCUCUUUGUUUCCAAAUGCAAUAACUUCAGUUUUUUCCUUGUUUAACUGAAGAAUGUUCUGGCAAAUCCAGCUGCUAAUUUCAUCAAUGCAUUGGCAGAGGGAGUCAAUGGGGCUGUAGUCGUUUGACAAUAAGGCUAAGUAAAUCUGUGUAUCAUCAGCAUAGAUGUGAUAGGCAAUUUGGUUCUUUAUCAUUAUAGCAUCAAAUUCCUAGCUAAAAUCAAACUUAUUACAAAAAUUAACAAUUGAACAUAUAUCAGCGUGAAAAAAACUACCAUAAAUGACCAAAACCAUAUUUCGGAAAAUUGUAUUGGAAGUAUAUAUUUUUUUUAUUAUUUUGACUCAAGUCCCAUUCGUUUACAUGGAGAGGGCGGGGUUUAUGAGCUGUACUGCAGCCAGCCACCAGAGGGCGAUCAAAGAGCCCACAGCUGCACUUUUUAGGACGUGUGAGGCACACCCGAUCAGAACAGUUCAAAGCACUCUGGGGAAAGAACACAAGCGAGUGCUGAAGCUCAGGUUGUGAGAAAAGCCGAACUUUAAUUCACACAGCAUCUGAAGUUAAGCCGACAUGAGCGCUGACGUCAUGUUUGCGCUGAGAUUGAAACUAAAACUUUUGAAGAAACCAGAGGCUCACAGGAGACGCUGUGAAGAGGACUGAAACAAACAUGAUGAGCUGCUGCCAUCUGCUGGAAACACACCUUCACUCGCCUGCAACCUUACAAAGUGAAAGGAACUUAAAGCUUCUGUUCAGAGCACGAGUCAGGAACGAUCUUACACAUGCUGCUAUUAUUCAAGCAGAGGGGGCUAAAGUCAUCUGUAAAGCUUCUAGCCUGGAUCCAAUGCAUUUCUGCUGAGAGCCUCAUUGCUUCUGCAUGCUUUUCUUUACCGUCACGCAGUAAUGUCCAGAACACAACAGCAAAAGUUUGAACAUUUAUCACCAAUUGCCUGCAGAGAAUGAGAGCAAUAAUCAGCUCUGCCACUGCACACAGAUGUUUGUACCUCAGUUUCAGGAAGGACUUUAAUGACGAGACUGCAGUGCAAAGAAACCUCAACAGAAGCUGUUUUCUGUUACAGAACACUGUUUCUCUGAAACACGCCUGACAAUGAAUUCAAACGAGCCCACUGGAUGUUUAAGAAGUCAAGGUACAGAAUCACCAAGUAUGUUUGCAUAUACAAGGAAUUUAUUCUGGUGACAGAAGCUUCCAGUACACAGAGACAACAACAAUACACAGAUUUGUUUAGACUUUAAAUAUGCUGUUUGUUAAUAAAGAUAAUAUCUAUUUUAAAAUUAGUUUCGAGUUUUUCGGAGAUGUGAGCUCCAGAGUGUCAGCGGCCGUUCAGCAAUCAUGAACCCACAGAGAGUGCCUCACCUCGGCCAGAUCUGCUGGAAUUUACCACUGGUUCGGGUGUCUCUAUAGUGGUUAAACAUAUAAUUUGUUUAUAUUGAAAGAGACUGAAACAGGGUGUUAAGGAAGUUAUUUUUACUUUUAAUAACAGCUUGUAAGAGGCAGUUAAUCACCCUUAACAGAUGAAAGGAUAGUACGACAAAGAUAUCGCUUUCCUCAGCGGACAUUCAGACUAAUGUUUUAUAUAUGAGAAUGAGCUAAAGAAAUACAGAAUGCUGUAUCAGAUGCAGGUGAUCACACUCUCAGUCAAUCUCUCUCUCAUAAUAUUCUGCUCCACAUAAUACACAGCUUUCAGUGAAGCAACCCAACAUUCCUUCGUUAUUAGUUCUAAAGUGAUG